rnacentral:rRNA from 1 species
GAUCUCCACCAUAUAUUCCCGGUCACCUGUGAACAGAAUAGUGUUUGAAGGCGCGCUUUGCGUUCACUGUAUUAGGAUGAACCGGCGUGUGCAUAGCUCUAGUUGGGUGAGGGUACGGGCUCACCAAGGCAACGAAUGGCAUAGCGGACUUGAGGAGGGGUGAUUCGGUCACACUGGGGACUGAGACACGGGCCCAGACUUCUUAACGGGAGGCAGCAGUAGGGAUUCUUCGGCAAUGGACGAAAGUUCCUGACCGAGCAACGCCGCGUGAGUGAAGAAGGGUUUUCGGAUCGUAAAACUUCUGUUGUUAGAGAAGAACAAGGAUGAGUGUAAUAAUGUUGACCCCUUGACGGUAUCUAACCAGAAAGCCACGGCUAACUACGUGCCAGCAGCCGCGGUAAUACGUAGGUGGCAAGCGUUGUCCGGAUUUAUUGGGCGUAAAGCGAGCGCAGGCGGUUUCUUAAGUCUGAUGUGAAAGCCCCCGGCUCAACCGGGGAGGGUCAUUGGAAACUGGGAGACUUGAGUGCAGAAGAGGAGAGUGGAAUUCCAUGUGUAGCGGUGAAAUGCGUAGAUAUAUGGAGGAACACCAGUGGCGAAGGCGGCUCUCUGGUCUGUAACUGACGCUGAGGCUCGAAAGCGUGGGGAGCGAACAGGAUUAGAUACCCUGGUAGUCCACGCCGUAAACGAUGAGUGCUAAGUGUUGGAGGGUUUCCGCCCUUCAGUGCUGCAGCAAACGCAUUAAGCACUCCGCCUGGGGAGUACGACCGCAAGGUUGAAACUCAAAGGAAUUGACGGGGGCCCGCACAAGCGGUGGAGCAUGUGGUUUAAUUCGAAGCAACGCGAAGAACCUUACCAGGUCUUGACAUCCUUUGACCACUCUAGAGAUAGAGCUUCCCCUUCGGGGGCAAAGUGACAGGUGGUGCAUGGUUGUCGUCAGCUCGUGUCGUGAGAUGUUGGGUUAAGUCCCGCAACGAGCGCAACCCUUAUUGUUAGUUGCCAUCAUUUAGUUGGGCACUCUAGCGAGACUGCCGGUGACAAACCGGAGGAAGGUGGGGAUGACGUCAAAUCAUCAUGCCCCUUAUGACCUGGGCUACACACGUGCUACAAUGGGAAGUACAACGAGUUGCGAAGUCGCGAGGCUAAGCUAAUCUCUUAAAGCUUCUCUCAGUUCGGAUUGUAGGCUGCAACUCGCCUACAUGAAGCCGGAAUCGCUAGUAAUCGCGGAUCAGCACGCCGCCGGAUUUCCGC